GACGAACCGUGCGAACGUUGUUCGGAUUCACUGGGCUUAAAGGGCGCGUAGGCGGGCCGCCAAGUCAGGGGUGAAAUCCUCCGGCUCAACCGUGGAACUGCCUCGGAUACUGGCGGUCUCGAGGGGGGUAGGGGCAUGCGGAACUGUGGGUGGAGCGGUGAAAUGCGUUGAUAUCCACAGGAACUCCGGUGGCGAAGGCGGCGUGCUGGACCUCUUCUGACGCUGAGGCGCGAAAGCUAGGGGAGCAAACGGG
rnacentral:rRNA from 1 species